rnacentral:rRNA from 1 species
UACGAAGGGUGCAAGCGUUACUCGGAAUUACUGGGCGUAAAGCGUGCGUAGGUGGUGCGUUAAGUCUGUCGUGAAAGCCCCGGGCUCAACCUGGGAAUGGCGAUGGAUACUGGCGCGCUAGAGUGCGGUAGAGGAGAGUGGAAUUCCCGGUGUAGCAGUGAAAUGCGUAGAGAUCGGGAGGAACAUCAGUUGCGGAAGGCGGCUCUCUGGACCAGCACUGACACUGAGGCACGAAAGCGUGGGGAGCAAACAGG